rnacentral:lncRNA from 1 species
ACGUCCGAUAAUACUAUCGUCCUAUUAAUAGUAUAUCAUACGGUCAUGAACAUUUAAGGACCUGUGUGACAAAAUCAUAUUUCAUUACACAAAGCAGUCCUAAGGACUUCAUCACAUCGAAGUUUGUGAAGAUGUUCUGGUGAUGAAUAAAUACUAUGUUAUUUAUAAUUGAUUCAAAUACAUUUACAAUCAACAAUUGAUUGGAUUUAGGACAUAAUUUCCAACAACUC